rnacentral:lncRNA from 1 species
UGGAGGCCCAAACUGGGAAAGUCAAAACUCCAAUAGACCCCUUUCUCUAAACCUGUCCAGUGGGUUCCUUUUAGGGCAACUCUACAUCUCAGCUCUUGCUCAAGCAAGGAGAGACUACAGAAAAAGUAGGAGAAAGCCUGAGGAAGGCUAGCUAGGAAAAGGCAAGAUGGAAGGCAAACAAACCAGCAGGAACUGCCUGGGGACAAGAAAAGCUUGAGGAUGAACAAGAGAGUGGGGGUAGCUUGGUUGAACAUUCACACUACUGAUGCCAUGGUGAGCCUUCCAAGAAUUGCUGUUGGGGGGUGAGGGGAUUCAGAUUCCCUGAGUUAGGGAUAUCUGGCAGCUGCUGCCUCUGAAGCCAGAUGUACAGCCAGAGAAGGCAGUAGCCUUUCAGCCUUUCCAGUUGAUGUUAAGAAGCCCACCCAGAGUCUAGAAGUGCACCCCGUUGUCUGUUCUCCCUUGAAGUGGCACAGUGCUAUGUAACCUAGCAAGGGACAGGGCUUCCAGCUCAGGCCUCCUGAAUGACUGUGUUGGAAACAACCCUGACAUAGUCACCUCGGUGACAAGGCCUUACAUUGCCUUUCUGCAAAAUGAUCCUUCCAAAGCCGUAGACACUCUAGGCAGCUUCCCCCAGUGCUAUUCCAUUACUGCCCCAUACACCUCCGACUGCAAGAAAAAGCAGGCUGAACAGAGGCACCUGGACACACUUUAUUCUGAUAAUCUACUUUGGGAAGGAGGGUGGAGAGAAGGGUGCCUGAACCUCCCUCCCUUCUUGAUACAUUUGAGCCUGACAGGAGGAAAACUGCAGCCACUGUGGAUACCAAUAUACCCUCCACCCUUUCGGGACCGAAACAGAAGAAACCUGGAAAAGGCUUAGUUUGUUUUGCUGAUCAAAUUUCCUUCUUAGCCUCUCGGCCCCACAAGCCUAACUCGUUGGCCACGUCCAAACGCUGGGCCUGGAGCCUUGGUCAAGCGCUAAGGGGGUUCUGCCUAGAUCUUGAAGUUGGGAAAAACAAGAGGAGAUUGAACCGGCUCCCCCCCUUCUUUACAGACACACACGCACCGUCAGGCCGCGGCCACUUCCUGCCUUUGUUUUUCUUCCUCCAAACAUUUUUUUUUGGCCUCUUGCAUUAGCCGCCGUAGGGCUCCGGGUUGACGAUUAAAGGAAAUAAACGUUGAAGAGUGUUUUCUAGAGACGGCCCGCGCUCUGUGUAGUUCUUGAGAAAGAACAGCUCCCGGGAAACCAAUGUCCAGGGCCAAUGUCAUAGCCUUGCCCGAGCCGCCUCUUCUAAGAAUGGAACUCGGACUUGGCCUUCCGGUGUGGUCUUAUCCCUAGUCCGGUCUUUCCCAGAGCCUGGUUGGCUGAGAUCAACCUUCGACCUCCUGCAAAGCCAAAGAGUCAGUUAGGCUCAGAGCUAAGUGAAAACCAAGGACCCGCAGAACCACCUCCCUUUCUUCCCCCAGAUUGGGUCCGAACCUCAGAGCAGCUCCCGCCCUGUACGCUGAAGCCUGCCGGAAGAACAUUCACUCUACCAGGUUUAAACAGGACAGGACCAGGCAAAACGGCUUCUAUUGAGCAUUCUCGGGGAUUUGAGCAUCCCAUCUCUUGUCUCUGCUUAAAGAACUAACAGCAAUCGGCAGCUCCAGAGCUCCAGGCCAUUUCCCUUCUGUUGCCUUCAAAAGCCUUUUCCUCACCCAUCUUCACCGCAGCGCCCCCACACGCUCCCUUCGAGGAUGCAAAUCCCUCCGGGUACCCCUCUUCUCUACAGCCUGUCGAGUUGCUUUGCCAACCACUCGUGGAGCACCUUCUUCGCCCACAGCCUUUCCUGCGGAAUUUGUCUUGUCUUCUGCAGACGCCCAUGGGAUACCUACCUGCCGGCUCCCAUUCAACUAGCCCUCGAUGAGAAUCUAGGGAGUACUGGCUGUGCGGGGCAUUGCACAGUGCCACACCGACCUUUCUGCGGGUAUCCCUUCUCCCUGUCAUCCCGAGAAGUCGAGCUAAUUAUGAGAGAAAGCUGCCAUGUAGUCAGGGGCGGCGGCCUUGCAUCCCCCGCGGCUGGGCCACCUCGGCCCCACUGCUCAGGCACAAGCUGAAGUUGACUGCCAAAACUGCUAUAAAACCGCAGGACCAUCCUGUAGUUUCCAUCCCCAGGUUUAGAAGAAGGCCUGAAGCUACCCUUCCUGCAACAACCUUUCUCCCUGCUAGAUCUCCUCACUCACACCACUGCAGUCAUCUAUGAAGCCACCGUGGACAAAUAUGUCAAACUGAAGAUGCACAAAUAAUUUUAAGUUCAGCUCUCAGGGAUUCGAGGGGCAUGAAAGUUCCUGCAGCAAAUCCUGAAUAAAGAGUUCAUUAAAC